rnacentral:rRNA from 1 species
CCCUUAGAUGUUCUGGGCCGGACGCGUGCUACACUGAGUGGAUCAGCGGGUCAGGUUGCGCGAAAGUGUUUCCUAAUCUUUAAAUCCGCUCGUGAUGGGGAUUGACGGUUGCAAUUUUCCGUCAUGAACGAGGAAUACCUUGUAAGCGCGGGUCAUCAUCCCGCGCUGAAUACGUCCCUGCCCUUUGUACACACCGCCCGUCGCUCCUACCGAUUGAGUGGUCCGGUGAGGCUUUGGGAUCUGAGCGGAAAGAGCGUUUCGCUGUUUCUGCCCGGAAAACUCAGUCGAACCUUAUCAUUUAGAGGAAGGAGAAGUCGUAACA